GACUUUUUGCUCUUCCGCUUUUUGCCACCGCCCCCAACUUUCUACAUCCUUGCAGCCCCUACCUUUUCUUGUGUUGCUCCUCCCCUGGCAGCCGUGCGGGGGGUUAGAUCUCAGCCGGAGCGGGAGCUGGGCCUAGCUGUCCCCACGGGCCACCACUACCUCCUUUGGUUCGGGAGAAAGCUACGACUGAGACCAAAAGAGGAAGAUAGUCUUGGGACCCCUGCAUGGUGUUUCAAAGGGUGGUGAAGAACUAAGGUAGAAGAAUACAUGUUCACUUCCAGUGAACAAGAGCAUGUUCCCGAACUCAAUUUUGGGUCGCCCACCCUUCACUCCAAAUCAUCAACAACAUAAUAACUUCUUUACCCUGUCACCUACUGUUUAUUCACACCAGCAGCUUAUAGAUGCACAAUUCAACUUUCAGAAUGCAGACUUGUCUAGAGCUGUGUCAUUACAGCAGCUGACAUAUGGAAAUGUCAGUCCAAUACAGACCUCAGCUUCCCCAUUAUUUCGAGGAAGGAAGAGAUUAAGCGAUGAAAAAAACCUUCCUCUUGACGGUAAACGGCAACGUUUCCAUUCA
rnacentral:sRNA from 1 species